CCGGGGUCCUACCAUGACAAGUCGAGGGGUAUAGGAAGAGCUUGCUUUCUAGAGACCGGCGGAUGGGUGAGUAACGCGUAUGCAACCUACCUUUUACAGGGGAAUAGCCCGGAGAAAUUCGGAUUAAUGCUCCAUGGUUUAAUUGAAUGGCAUCGUUUGAUUAAUAAAGAUUUAUCGGUAAAAGAUGGGCAUGCGUAUCAUUAGCUAGUUGGUGUGGUAACGGCAUACCAAGGCUACGAUGAUUAGGGGUCCUGAGAGGGAGAUCCCCCACAGCUGGUACUGAGACACGGACCAGACUCCUACGGGAGGCACCAGUGAGGAAUAUUGGUCAAUGGACGCAACUCUUAACCAACCAUGCCGCGUGCAGGAUGACGGUCCUAUGGAUUGUAAACUGCUUUUGUACGGGAAGAAAUGUGAUUACAUGUAAUUAUUUGACGGUACCGUAAGAAUAAGGAUCGGCUAACUCCAUGCCCGCAGCCGCGGUAAUACGGACGAUCCCAGCGUUAUCCGGAAUUAUUGGGUUUAAAGGGUUCGUAGGCGGUUGAGUAAGUCAGUGGUGAAAUCUUAUACCUAAACUAUAACAUUGCCGUUGAUCCUGCUUGACUUGAAUAGUAUGGAAGUAAUUAGAAUAUAUAAUGAAACGGUAAAAUGCUUAGAUAUUACAUGGAAUACCAAUUGCGAAGGCAGAUUACUACGUACUUAUUGCCGCUGAUGAACGAAAGCGUGGGUAGCGAACAAGAUUAGAUACCCUGGUAGUCCACACCGUAUACUAUGGAUACUAGCUGUUCAGUUUUCCGACUGAUUGGCUAAUCGAAACUGAUAAGUAUCCCACCUGGGGAGUACGUUCUCAGAAUGAAACUCACAAGAAUUGACUGGAGCCCGCACGAACUGUGGAGCAUGUGGUUUAAUUCGAUGAUACGCGAGGAACCUUACCAACGCUUAAAUGUACAUUGACAGGUUUAGAGAUAGACUUUCCUUCGGACAAUUAACACGUGCUGCAGGGUGUCAUCGCUCGUGCCUGAGGGUCACGUCAGUCCUAUAACGAGCGCACCCCUAUGUCAGUAGCAGCGAAUCAGUCGGGAAUCUACAGAAUGCUGUGCAACCGUGAGGAAGUCGGGAGACGUCAAUAAAACGGCCUUACUUCUAGGCUCCCCCUCCUAAGAUGGCCUAAGAUAGCCCUACGGAAAUAAAGCGAUCCCACACGGGUCACUGUCAUUAAAUCCAUUCUUCUACAGAAUCUA
rnacentral:rRNA from 1 species